rnacentral:rRNA from 1 species
GACGAACCGUCCAAACGUUAUUCGGAAUCACUGGGCUUACAGAGUUCGUAGGCGGUCUGGAAAGUUGGGUGUGAAAUCCCUCGGCUCAACCGAGGAACUGCGCUUGAAACUACCAGACUCGAGGGAGAUAGAGGAAAGCGGAACUGAUGGUGGGGCGGUGAAAUGCGUUGAUAUCAUCAGGAACACCGGUGGCGAAGGCGGCUUUCUGGGUCUUACCUGACGCUGAGGAACGAAAGCCAGGGGAGCGAACGGG